CGGCAGCUGCCAUGUGCUCGCUUGUCCUGAUUGGCUGGAAGCCGACGAACGGUAUCUGCAUCGACAAUACGAGACCCACAAUGUAGAAAGUGCUGUAAGCUGAGAACAGACAAAAGAGAAACAGGGAGAGAGGGAGCAGACCAGAUAAGAAGUCAAACAAUCAAAACAAUCUAUUGCUGCUACUAAGAACCUUCUGUUCAACCGCUCCAGUCUGGGUCCCACUCAGGGAAAUCAACCUCAAUAGAGUCAUGGAGAGACAACUGGGCUCUGAAAAGAGGGGCUACAAGAUGUGAAGAGGAGGGAAGGUGCAAGUUUGCUGGAUUAUGCUCUGGCUGCACAUAUCCUUGAGGAACAACGAAGGCGGGCGGACAUUUUCCACUUCACCUAACAGCACUGCAUUGUUGAAGAACCAUUUGGAGAUCGAGCAGACGUAGGUCAAAUCUUUCUCACUAUUAGGAGGCCAUAAUUUAUUUUCAAAGCUCUCAAAGACUAUGCUUUGCGGUUCCAACAAGUACUACAUAUAAUCAUGCGUAGAGGGUACUUGACAUUGGUAUAAUUUUUCUUGACCACAACAAAAGUGUCUGCUGUCGUCAGCUCAUAGCUAAGCUGACGACGGAUGUGUGGAGUUCUCUGAGUCGCCGGAUAAUGUGCUGCCACGUGCUCCGUGAACCUGGGAUGUUCUGUGGAAUAACAAGC